rnacentral:tRNA from 1 species
GCCGCCGUAGCUCAGCUGGGAGAGCGCCCGAGAAUACUGUCUCGGAUAACAGGUUUUCCGAGAAGUAUUCGGUGAAGCUGAAGACCGGGGGGUCCGGGGUUCAAGUCCCCGCGGCGGCA